rnacentral:rRNA from 1 species
AGCGAACGCUGGCGGCAGGCUUAACACAUGCAAGUCGAGCGGGCGUAGCAAUACGUCAGCGGCAGACGGGUGAGUAACGCGUGGGAACAUACCUUUUGGUUCGGAACAACACAGGGAAACUUGUGCUAAUACCGGAUAAGCCCUUACGGGGAAAGAUUUAUCGCCGAAAGAUUGGCCCGCGUCUGAUUAGCUAGUUGGUGAGGUAACGGCUCACCAAGGCGACGAUCAGUAGCNGGUCUGAGAGGACGAUCAGCCACACUGGGACUGAGACACGGCCCAGACUCCUACGGGAGGCAGCAGUAGGGAAUCUUGCGCAAUGGGCGAAAGCCUGACGCAGCAACGCCGCGUGAGGGACGAAGGCCUUCGGUUGUAACC